UACGAGGGGGGCGAGCGUUGUUCGGAAUUAUUGGGCGUAAAGAGCUCGUAGGCGGUUUGUCGCGUCUGCUGUGAAAACCCGAGGCUCAACCUCGGGCCUGCAGUGGGUACGGGCAGACUAGAGUGCGGUAGGGGGAGAUUGGAAUUCCUGGUGUAGCGGUGGAAUGCGCAGAUAUCAGGAGGAACACCGAUGGCGAAGGCAGAUCUCUGGGCCGUAACUGACGCUGAGGAGCGAAAGCGUGGGGAGCGAACAGG
rnacentral:rRNA from 1 species